rnacentral:rRNA from 1 species
AGUAACGCGUGGGUAACCUGCCUUAUACAGGGGGAUAACAGUUGGAAACGGCUGCUAAUACCGCAUAAGCGCACGGCAUCGCAUGAUGCAGUGUGAAGAACUCCGGUGGUAUAAGAUGGACCCGCGUUGGAUUAGCUAGUUGGUGAGGUAACGGCCCACCAAGGCGACGAUCCAUAGCCGACCUGAGAGGGUGACCGGCCACAUUGGGACUGAGACACGGCCCAA